rfam:Triticum urartu cultivar G1812 contig1208058, whole genome shotgun sequence.
UUGCUACUCCCUCCGUUCGGAAUUACUUAUCGUAUAAAUGGAUAUAUUUAGAUGUACUUUAGUUCUAUAUACAUUCAUUUUCAAUACAAGUAAUUCCGAACGAAGGGAGUAGUUU